AAGCCCCGAAAUCAUGCUCUAUCUUGGCGGACGGACAUGACAUUCAGGGCUAGGUCGAAAUCUAGAAAGGAUAUUAGCACAUGCAGCGUGCAAAACAACAGCCCCGCCAUAAGG
rnacentral:ncRNA from 1 species